ensembl:miRNA MIR7151 microRNA 7151
GAUCCAUCUCUGCCUGUAUUGGCUUGGAUUCUGCAAAGCCUACAGGCUGGAAUGGGCUCA